UACAGAGGGUGCGAGCGUUUGUCCGGAAUCACUGGGCGUAAAGGGCGCGUAGGCGGCUUGAUAAGGUUGCGGUGAAAGCCCGGGGCUCAACCCCGGGUCGGCCGUGGCAACUGUCGAGCUGGAGCACUGUAGAGGCAGGUGGAAUUCCGGGUGUAGCGGUGGAAUGCGUAGAGAUCCGGAAGAACACCGGUGGCGAAGGCGGCCUGCUGGGCAGUGGCUGACGCUGAGGCGCGACAGCGUGGGGAGCAAACAGG
rnacentral:rRNA from 1 species